CGAAAUGACUCAUUCAAGUCAUUUUCAUGUUGAAGAGGUGAUCAGACUUCUUCUUUAUCGUGCGGUAUGACGAAUAUUCCUUAGUGAAAUUAAGAAAAGUUCGCUAAAGUUUCAGAUUGAGCAUGGCAGUAGGGUGUGGAACCAAUCUUGUGCCUUGCCUUGGAGCGUCGUGGCAAAGAUUUUGCACAUUAGAGUGUCAUUGUUGCCGUAAAGGGUCAUGACGCUUCGGUAGUGCAUCACUUGCCUGUCCAGAUCUUCAUC
rnacentral:lncRNA from 1 species